rnacentral:tRNA from 1 species
GAGGGUAUAGCUCAGUGGUAGAGCACGUGCUUAGCAUGCACAAGGUCCUAGGUUCAAUCCCCAGUACUCCA